rnacentral:rRNA from 1 species
CCAAUAGCGUAUAUUAAAGUUGUUGCAGUUAAAAAGCUCGUAGUUGAAUUUCGGGAUUGGCGCAUCGGUCGUGCCUCACGGGGUAUGAACUGGUGCAGUCAAUUUCUCACCUUCUGGAGAACCGCGAUGCCCUUAAUUGGAUGCCGCGGGGAACCAGGACCUUUACUUUGAAAAAAUUAGAGUGUUUAAAGCAGGCAUUU